CCUUAUUGGUCAUAAAGUGUCACAUGGCCACCCUUGGCUGUAAGGGAGGCUCGGAAAUAAUAAUUUAGCAUUUCAGACUCUGUCGCAGAGGAAGGAAAGGAGAAGAUGGAUUGGGAAUAGUGUUGAGUGAGACGAUUUUUAAUGUCUACCAUAGCCAAAAAGGGAAUUAUUAAUGGUUGUCCAGGCUUCAGGCAAGGAUGGAUCCAGGAGCUCAUAUCAUGUCAUUCGUGUGUCCGUGCUCAGUCGUGUCCGACUCUUUUCGACCCGUUGGACUGUAGCCUGUCAGUUUCCUCUCUCCAUGGGAUUUUCCAGGCAAGAAAACUGGAGUGGGCAUUUCGUCUCCAGGGGAUCUUCCCGACCCAGGGAUUGAACCUACAUCUUCUGUGUCUCUUGCACCAACAGAAAUCCCAGGAUUGCAUCUCACUGGCCCUACUUCAGUCAUGGGACUACUGCUGAACCAGUCACAGCUGAACCAGUCACAGCAGCCAGGGGAUGGAAUAUUAUUAGCUGCACCUGGGUCGUGCCUUCUCCACCCACUUCCUGGAGCUACAGAUGAGGUCAGCCUCAUAAAUCUCCUGGACUGAAAGUGGAGGUAUGCUGGUUCCAAAAGAAAGCCAAGACCCUCUCUGGUUAAGGAAGAGCAGACGCCAGGACUGAUGCCAAAGCUGAAGUUCCAAUACUUUGGCCACAUGAUGUGAAGAGACAGCU